rnacentral:rRNA from 1 species
UACAGAGGGUGCAAGCGUUGUUCGGAAUUACUGGGCGUAAAGCGCGCGUAGGCGGCUUUGCAAGUCGAGUGUGAAAUCCCCGGGCUUAACCCGGGAACUGCAUUCGAGACUGCAUAGCUAGAGUAUGGGAGAGGGAAGUGGAAUUUCAGGUGUAGCGGUGAAAUGCGUAGAUAUCUGAAGGAACAUCAGUGGCGAAAGCGACUUCCUGGACCAAUACUGACGCUCAUGUGCGAAAGCGUGGGGAGCAAACAGG